AAGAUACUCCCUUCGUCCGAAAAUACUUGUCAUUGAAAUGGAUGUAGACGUACAUCCAUUUCAAUGACAAGUAUUUUCGGACGAAGGGAGUAUACG
rfam:Triticum aestivum genome assembly, contig: Triticum_aestivum_CS42_TGACv1_scaffold_030246_1BL